CAAAGGAAGUUCGACGGGGCCCGCACAAGCGGUGGAGCAUGUGGUUUAAUUCGACGCAACGCGAAGAACCUUACCAGGGCUUGACAUCCCCUGACCGCGUAUGAAAGUACGUUUUCACCCUCGGGUGACAGGGAGACAGGUGGUGCAUGGUUGUCGUCAGCUCGUGUCGUGAGAUGUUGGGUUAAGUCCCGCAACGAGCGCAACCCCUACGUUUAGUUGCUAACGCGUGAAGGCGAGCACUCUAGACGAACUGCCGUUGACAAAACGGAGGAAGGUGGGGAUGACGUCAAAUCAUCAUGCCCCUUAUGUUCUGGGCUACACACGUGCUACAAUGGCCGGUACAGACGGACGCAAAGCCGCGAGGUGGAGCAAAUCCUAAAAAGCCGGUCUCAGUUCGGAUUGCAGGCUGCAAUUCGCCUGCAUGAAGUCGGAAUCGCUAGUAAUCGCAGGUCAGCAUACUGCGGUGAAUACGUUCCCGGGCCUU
rnacentral:rRNA from 1 species